ACAGAUGGGUGAGCAACUCGCCCAUAGGCAAGAGUGAAUCAUCGCGGAUGAUGGAUGAGGAGGAGAUGGUGCUGAGAGGCGCUCAGGGGACCGUCAAGGGGUCUCUUCCAGCUUCGUCUGUGAGUCACGGAUCAUCCUGACAAAUCCUGCCGCAGAGCAGAGGAAAGGCGAGACGGGAGAGAUGGAGGAUUUAUUGUUUCAGAGCCUUCCUCCAUCGCAGGGAUUUUUUUUACUCCAGAGCAGCAUUAACAGAGAGUACUCCUAAUCUGGGUUUUACUUUCUCAGCCAAAGCACUUCUUCACAGCUCGAGCAAAUGCAGGCCAUGCCUACAUUCGCUCAUUCAUUCCCUCACAUACUGUGGGCGCAGAGACAGAGGCAAGAGUUGUCGUCAUCACCAGCUCAGAGGGAGGGUUGCAGACGCUGCUGAAUGCUGUUCGUUUUAAUAAAACGAUGAAAGAGAACUCCCCCUGUGAUGGACACAGGCCAGCGUCAGGACAUGAUGAGAAAAUGUCAUGCCGGACUGACACGCCAGACUUUCACUUCAGCCGUGCAGAGCAGUUCCUCCCCUCAGGACAGAGUCUCUAGAGCACCCAUGGGGCAGCUCUGCCACCCGAGACUCGGUCUCCCCGUGGGCACAAAGAAUAAAACCGAGGACUUACCCAUUGCUCUCUCUUCAGAAUCUAUCCAAGCCUCCAGCCCCAGAGCCUGCCUAACAAUGGCAGAUUCGGAUGGGGGUGAGGAGGAGGAGGGUGUGGGAGGAGAGAAAGAAGAACAGCAGGGGUAAUCGUGGGGAAGCAGGUGGUCGGGGCAGAGCGAGGACAUGAGGCCAGCGCUGUGCCACCCAGGGGCGAUGGGAGCCAUGGGAGGCCCAGGCCCCUUCUGCCCUGGCCUGGAUGCUGCCUCCCUCACCGCCUGGCUGGCUUGAGGAAGCAGAAAGAGCAUCAGCUACGGGUCUGUGCAUGAACAGAUGAGCCCUGCUGCCGGCUAGCCUCACACUGUGAAAUGGGAGAGAGGCCUGGCCCCGGUACAAACUGGGAAGGGGAGGGGGCACAGCCUCAUCUGUUUGGCCUCUCGUUCUCUGCCUCUCUGUCCUGGAAUGGCACAUCCACGAGGGCCGGGGCUUCGUGCCU